GAUGAAGAACGCAGCGAAAUGCGAUACUUGGUGUGAAUUGCAGAAUCCCGUGAACCAUCGAGUCUUUGAACGCAAGUUGCGCCUCAAGCCAUUAGGUUGAGGGCACGUCUGCCUGGGCGUCACAUAUCGUUGCCUGAUGCCAGUUUCCUCGUGAUGGGUGACUGUGCAGGGCGAAUGAUGGCUUCCCGUGAGCAUUGUUGCCUCAUGGUUGGUUGAAAAUUGAGUCCUUGGUAGGGAGCGCCGUGAUAGAUGGUGGUCGAGUGACGAACGAGACCCAAUCAUGUGAGACCCCUACCGAAUUUGGCCUUCAUGACCCACAUGCGUCUUUGGAACGCUCAUGACGAGACCUCAGGUCAGGCGGGGCUACCCGCUGAGUUUAAGCAUAUCAAUAAGCGGAGGA
rnacentral:misc_RNA from 1 species